UACAGAGGGUGCGAACGUUGUUCGGAAUUACUGGGCGUAAAGCGCGUGUAGGCGGCAAUGCAAGUCGGGCGUGAAAUCCCACGGCUCAACCGUGGAAGUGCACUCGAAACUGCAUAGCUAGAGUCCUGGAGAGGAAGGUGGAAUGCUUGGUGUAGAGGUGAAAUUCGUAGAUAUCAAGCGGAACACCGGUGGCGAAGGCGGCCUUCUGGACAGUGACUGACGCUGAGACGCGAAAGCGUGGGGAGCAAACAGG
rnacentral:rRNA from 1 species